rnacentral:rRNA from 1 species
GAUGAACGCUGGCGGCGUGCCUAAUACAUGAAAGUCGAGCGAACGGACGAGAAGCUUGCUUCUCUGAUGUUAGCGGCGGACGGGUGAGUAACACGUGGAUAACCUACCUAUAAGACUGGGAUAACUUCGGGAAACCGGAGCUAAUACCGGAUAAUAUUUUGAACCGCAUGGUUCAAAAGCGAAAGACGGUCUUGCUGUCACUUAUAGAUGGAUCCGCGCUGCAUUAGCUAGUUGGUAAGGUAACGGCUUACCAAGGCAACGAUGCAUAGCCGACCUGAGAGGGUGAUCGGCCAGACUGGAACUGAGACACGGUCCAGACUCCUACGGGAGGAAGCAGUAGGGAAUCUUACGCAAUGGGCGAAAGCCUGACGGAGCAACGCCGCGUGAGUGAUGAAGGUCUUCGGAUCGUAAAACUCUGUUAUUAGGGAAGAACAUAUGUGUAAGUAACUGUGCACAUCUUGACGGUACCUAAUCAGAAAGCCACGGCUAACUACGUG